GCAGCCCCACAAUUAAGGCAUAUCCGGUGGAGUUGGAAGAAGCUGUAGAGUGAGUUUGACUGGUGCAGUGAGUUUCAUUGCUAUUGUUGGAGCUAGAUUGAGCAUUCCUCCCCAACCUAGCAACAAGGAGUGCGGGUACUUUAUCAUGCGAUAUAUGAGAGAUAUGAUUGAGGAUAAGACAUGUCAUUGUUUCCUUCCAAGUGGGAGAGGAGAGGCAGCAGCCAAUACACCCAAGCUGAUAUUGAUCAAGUGCGAAAUGAGUGGGGGAAGUUUGUUGUCAUCACAUAUGUGCACGAGUCAUGAAGUAGCGCACUUGUUGGUACAUUUUAGAUAAGGAAAACAUCUUUUUUGUGCUUCUCUGCUGGUACAUUGUUAUGCACCAUGUGUGGCAUGUUUUGGAACAAUAUAUGUACGUGUAUCAGCUUUUUGAUGUCCCAAGUAGAUGGGCAUGCACUAGAAUGCUCUUCUUGUGUAAAAUGUUGGU